rnacentral:rRNA from 1 species
AGAGUUUGAUCCUGGCUCAGGAUGAACGCUGGCGGCGCGCCUAACACAUGCAAGUCGAACGGCACCCCUCUCCGGAGGGAAGCGAGUGGCGAACGGCUGAGUAACACGUGGAGAACCUGCCCCCUCCCCCGGGAUAGCCGCCCGAAAGGACGGGUAAUACCGGAUACCCCGGGGUGCCGCAUGGCACCCCGGCUAAAGCCCCGACGGGAGGGGAUGGCUCCGCGGCCCAUCAGGUAGACGGCGGGGUGACGGCCCACCGUGCCGACAACGGGUAGCCGGGUUGAGAGACCGACCGGCCAGAUUGGGACUGAGACACGGCCCAGACUCCUACGGGAGGCAGCAGUGGGGAAUCUUGCGCAAUGGGGGGAACCCUGACGCAGCGACGCCGCGUGCGGGACGGAGGCCUUCGGGUCGUAAACCGCUUUCAGCAGGGAAGAGUCAAGACUGUACCUGCAGAAGAAGCCCCGGCUAACUACGUGCCAGCAGCCGCGGUAAUACGUAGGGGGCGAGCGUUAUCCGGAUUCAUUGGGCGUAAAGCGCGCGUAGGCGGCCCGGCAGGCCGGGGGUCGAAGCGGGGGGCUCAACCCCCCGAAGCCCCCGGAACCUCCGCGGCUUGGGUCCGGUAGGGGAGGGUGGAACACCCGGUGUAGCGGUGGAAUGCGCAGAUAUCGGGUGGAACACCGGUGGCGAAGGCGGCCCUCUGGGCCGAGACCGACGCUGAGGCGCGAAAGCUGGGGGAGCGAACAGGAUUAGAUACCCUGGUAGUCCCAGCCGUAAACGAUGGACGCUAGGUGUGGGGGGACGAUCCCCCCGUGCCGCAGCCAACGCAUUAAGCGUCCCGCCUGGGGAGUACGGCCGCAAGGCUAAAACUCAAAGGAAUUGACGGGGGCCCGCACAAGCAGCGGAGCAUGUGGCUUAAUUCGAAGCAACGCGAAGAACCUUACCAAGUCUUGACAUCCUUCUGACCGGUACUUAACCGUACCUUCUCUUCGGAGCAGGAGUGACAGGUGGUGCAUGGUCGUCGUCAGCUCGUGUCGUGAGAUGUUGGGUUAAGUCCCGCAACGAGCGCAACCCUUAUCUUUAGUAGCCAGCGGUCUGGCCGGGCACUCUAGAGAGACUGCCAGGGAUAACCUGGAGGAAGGCGGGGAUGACGUCAAAUCAUCAUGCCCCUUAUGACUUGGGCUACACACGUGCUACAAUGGCGUAAACAAAGGGAAGCAAAGCUGUGAAGCCGAGCAAAUCUCAAAAAUAACGUCUCAGUUCGGACUGUAGUCUGCAACCCGACUACACGAAGCUGGAAUCGCUAGUAAUCGCAGAUCAGAAUGCUGCGGUGAAUACGUUCCCGGGUCUUGCACACACCGCCCGUCA